rnacentral:rRNA from 1 species
AUGUCCGGGAUGCAGGAGUUGUACCUUUCAUGGAAGAAUUUGACUAGAACAGUCCCAGAAGAGAUGGCGAAUAUUAGUUCGUUGAUUGAGCUGGAUGUGCCAUACAACCAUCUCAAAGGACACGUCCCACUUCGGGGUGUGUUUGCAAACAUGACCGGGUUUAACUUCACCGAGAAUGGCGAGCUCUGUGGUGGCGCGCCUCAAUUCCGUCUUCCACAAUGUCCAGUGGCAAGGUACGGAAGCCAUAGUAAUUGGCCUCUUCAUAUCAUGGCACCAAUCCUAGGCAUAGUUCUCAUCUCGGCCAUACUCCUCGCCAUUUACCUAUGCUACAAGAGAAACUCGAGACAAACAAAAGCCACGGCACCAGACAUACUUGAUGCUUCGAACUACCAGAGGGUCUCGUAUGCUGAAUUGGCGAAAGCCACAAACGGCUUUGCGGAUCCCAAUCUGAUAGGUGUAGGAAAGUUUGGUUCCGUGUACCUUGGAGCUCUACCGCUGAAUGACAACGGGACACUCGAGAGUGUUCCUGUGGCAGUGAAAGUGCUUGAUCUUCAAGACAUUCCUGUCGGAAUGCGAGGCAUUGCGAAUGUUCGAGGCUUCGAGCUCAAGCCCAAUUACAGGCUAGACAGGUGGUUGCAUCCAACACUUGAAGCGGUGAAGAACGUAGGCAGCCUAACCGCAUUCCAACGGCUCAACAUUGCCGUGGACAUCGCCGCCGUGCUGCAUUAUCUUCACAGCAACUGCGUACCCCCAAUCAUACACUGUGAUCUCAAGCCGGGCAACGUUCUUCUCAACAAGGACAUGAUGGCCUGCAUCGGUGACUUCGGUCUCGUGAAGCUGCUCCUUGAUCCGGGGAUCCAUGACACCAUGAAUUAA